GGAAAGCGCUGUUCACCACACACAUGCCUAGAUUCAAUCAGAUCGAGCAGUAACCGACGAUUGCCGACACCCACAUAGCUGAUGUUUUGGCUGUGUCGGAGAUGUAACUGUGAUGGAGCUGUCAAAUUGGUGGGGCAGAGCCGGCACUCAACUUCCCAAAACAACACAGAGGUCCCCUCCUAAGCCCUUCUGGGUCAAGGUUCAGACAAAUGAGAAGAGAAAAGCAGACCUCAUUGUCGUCUAAUGGGGAUGGCGUGGAGUCAGUUGUCUUUGUGCAGCAACAAUAUAGUGUUCUGGCUGUGGGUCUGAUUCACUGGCUGAAUGACAGAAGAACUUUAAUGCCAUUCAGGAGCAGAGCCGCAUCUCCAUUCUGUCAAGUGAAAGACUGGGUUAGAUAUUACAUAAAACGAUACGUUAUGCAAGUGACCCUGGAUAAAAGCAUCAGCCAGGACCAGAGAGGAAUAAUACUACUACCCACGGUGGAACUUGAUUAAUAAAAUCCAAUAAAUGGCAAUAAAUGAAUU